AGGAUGAACGCUGGCGGCGUGCUUAACACAUGCAAGUCAAGGGGGCCCAGCAAUGGGUAACCGGCGAACGGGUGCGUAACACGUGAGCAACCUACCGAAUUGUGGGGGAUAGCCGGCCCAACGGCCGGGUAAUACCGCAUACGCUCGAGACGAGGCAUUUCGACUCGAGGAAACUUACGGGACAUUUCGAGGGGCUCGCGGCCUAUCAGCUAGUUGGUGAGGUAACGGCUCACCAAGGCGACGACGGGUAGC
rnacentral:rRNA from 1 species